CUAUCAAUCUAGUAAUGCUGUUUAUUUUCAGACUUGAACGGAAUGUAGCAAGCGUAGACAAUUGAAGUUGUCAGUUAAAAAAUGCCGUGUGAACUGUUCGUUGACAUCAGUAAAACUUGUAGUGAAAAAAGAUCCAGCUGCGGUACAAUGCCCAUCGUGCAUACAUAGAAUUCUGACGAGAGUUGUUUUUAAGACGAAUAUGAUGACUCAUGUGAUGGCAUAUCUACUCUUCUGUGUACCGUAUUGCUUAGAUUCGUUUAAGGAGGCACAACACUUGUUCCGCUUGCCACGAUAUUAGUAUCAUAAAAGUUCAAAAUAAAAGGGGAAAAACCGCGACGGAGUAUCAUGUUCAAAAUACAACAAGGAAGAAACAUACACACUUCCACAACCAUAAUAAGGUUGCUGCUCUCAAUUUCCUGAAGUAUGAGGGAGACAGAAACACAACGGGAAAUUACGGCAUUGGAUACAAUUUGAAUUGAAACGAUUGAUUUGCCCAACGCACAUACAAAUGCUCGGCGCUGUCAUCGCAUGACAUUGUGUUGGACUAUAUGUUGAUUCGUACAGUGUACACAUCAACUCGGCAUGAAAAUAGGAGGCUCACUCACGUACUCAGGCAAAAGACGGCGUUUUCACAUACUCAAAAUACUAAUUUCACAUCAUGAACCAAACCAUUUAAAAAAAUUUCCUUUCAAAUGUGAAUGUGCAAUUUUCUUGCGCGAACUAUUCAAUACGUAGCAUUUUAUAGUAUAUUUCUAACGAUACGAGUAAAGCAAAAAAACAAAAAAAAAACAAAAAACAAAGCGAAGCAAAUAAUUACAAAUAGAAAAUAAUAAAAUUCUUGGCAUCGUAUGCUAUGACCAUCAUCUACGAAUUAAACAGCGUCAAGUUAAAUGAAUCAAAAACAAGAAAGUGUUCAUGUUUGCCAUUUUCUAAAUGGUU